UGACCGCAGCUUGGAGAGGAUUGUCAGGAAAAGGCCAUUCAAAUGGUUUGGGGACUUUCACAAGGAGUGAACUGAGGCUGGAGUCAGUGCAUCAAGAGCCCCCACACACAGACGGAUCCUGGACAUGGGCUUCAGAUGUUGUAUUCCUUUUGUCAAGCUGCUCCUGAACAACAAACAACGUCAGAAGCGUCUUACCUGGGCUAAAGAAAAACAGACAUGGUCUGUUGCUCAGUGAUCCAAAGUCCUCUUUUCUGAUGAGAGCAACUUUUGCAUCUCAUUUGGAAACCAAGGACCCAGAGUCUGGAGGAAGAAUGGAGAGGCACACAUUGCAAGAUGCUUGAAGUCCAGUGUGAAGUUUCCACAGUCUGUGUUGAUUUAGGGAGCCAUGUCAUCUGCUGGUGUUGGUCCACUGUGCUUCAUUAAGUCCAGGGUCAACGCAGCCGUCUACCUGGAGAUUUUGGAGCACUUCAUGCUUCCUUCCGCAGAUGAGCUUUAUGGGGAUGCUGACUUCAUUUUCCAGCAGGACUUGGCACCC